UAUUAAGGAACAAAGACUAAGAACGCCACAUCGUGUGGCAACGUCUUUGUGAUCAACUUCCUGUUGA
rnacentral:sRNA from 1 species